ACCCUAACUGGAGCAUUGACUUGUCUUUUGUAAAUUAAGUAAGUGCUACUUGUUGGGUUA
ensembl:miRNA gmo-mir-430d gmo-mir-430d